AUUGAACGCUGGCGGCAUGCCUUACACAUGCAAGUCGAACGGCAGCGCGGACUUCGGUCUGGCGGCGAGUGGCGAACGGGUGAGUAACAUAUCGGAACGUGCCCUGGAGUGGGGGAUAACUAGUCGAAAGACUAGCUAAUACCGCAUACGAACUACGGAUGCAAGUGGGGGAUCGCAAGACCUCAUGCUCGUGGAGCGGCCGAUAUCUGAUUAGCGAGUUGGUGGGGUAAAGGCCUACCAAGGCAUCGAUCAGUAGCUGGUCUGAGAGGACGACCAGCCACCCGGGGACUGAGAGACGGCACAGACUCCUACGGGAGGCGGCCGUGGAGAAUUUUGGACAAUGGGGGCAACCCUGAUCCAGCAAUGCCGCGUGAGUGAAGAAGGCCUUCGGGUUGUAAAGCUCUUUUGUCAGGGAAGAAACGGUCCGGGCUAAUAUCCUGGACUAAUGACGGUACCUGAAGAAUAAGCACCGGCUAACUACGUGCCAGCCGCCGCUGUAAAAC
rnacentral:rRNA from 1 species